GGUGCUGCAUGGCUGUCGUCAGCUCGUGUUGUGAAAUGUUGGGUUAAGUCCCGCGACGAGCGCAACCCUUAUCCUUUGUUGCCAGCGGUUAGGCCGGGAACUCAAAGGAGACUGCCAGUGAUAAACUGGAGGAAGGUGGGGAUGACGUCAAGUCAUCAUGGCCCUUACGAGUAGGGCUACACACGUGCUACAAUGGCGCAUACAAAGAGAAGCGACCUCGCGAGAGCAAGCGGACCUCAUAAAGUGCGUCGUAGUCCGGAUUGGAGUCUGCAACUCGACUCCAUGAAGUCGGAAUCGCUAGUAAUCGUGGAUCAGAAUGCCACGGUGAAUACGUUCCCGGGUCUUGUACACAC
rnacentral:rRNA from 1 species